AUCAGUGGCGAACGGGUGAGUAACACGUGAGCAACCUGCCCCCUACUUCGGGAUAAGCCUUGGAAACGAGGUCUAAUACCGGAUAUGAACACUUGUCGCAUGGCGGGUGUUGGAAAGUUUUUCGGUGGGGGAUGGGCUCGCGGCCUAUCAGCUUGUUGGUGGGGUAAUGGCCUACCAAGGCGUCGACGGGUAGCCGGCCUGAGAGGGCGACCGGCCACACUGGGACUGAGACACGGCCCAGACUCCUACGGGAGGCAGCAGUGGGGAAUAUUGCACAAUGGGCGAAAGCCUGAUGCAGCGACGCCACGUGAGGGAUGACGGCCUUCGGGUUGUAAACCUCUUUCAGCAGGGAAGAAGCGAAAGUGACGGUACCUGCAGAAGAAGCGCCGGCUAACUACGUGCCAGCAGCCGCGGUAAUACGUAGGGCGCAAGCGUUGUCCGGAAUUAUUGGGCGUAAAGAGCUCGUAGGCGGUCUGUCGCGUCUGGUGUGAAAUCCCAUGGCUCAACUGUGGGCUUGCAUCGGGUACGGGCAGACUAGAGUGCUGUAGGGGAGACUGGAAUUCCUGGUGUAGCGGUGGAAUGCGCAGAU
rnacentral:rRNA from 1 species